AGGUCAAGCGAACAAGGGCGCAGGGCGAAUGCCUUGGCACUGGGAGCCGAUGAAAGACGUGAUAAGCUGCGAUAAGCUUCGGGGAGCUGCAAAUAAGCAUUGAUCCGGAGAUUUCUGAAUGAGGAAACUCACCUGGGUUCAUACUCAGGUACGUUAUACUGAACUUCAAAAUAGGUAUAUCGAGGGAACCGCCUGAACUGAAACAUCUAAGUAGGGCGAGGAAGAGACAUCAAACGAGAUUCCGUAAGUAGUGGCGAGCGAACGCGGAAGAGGGCAAACCGAGAGUAGAAAUACUUUCGGGGUACGGACUGCUUUUAGGACUUAAUCUGUUAACCGAACGGCAUGGGAAGGCCGGUCAGAGAGUGUGAGAACCACGUAGGUGAAAACGGAGAGAGCUGCGCAGGAUCCAGAGUACGGCCAGACACGUGAAACCUGGUCGGAAUACGGGGGGACCACCCUCCAACCCUAAAUACUACCCAGUGACCGAUAGCGUAUAGUACUGUGAAGGAAAGGUGAAAAGCACCCCGGGAGGGGAGUGAAAAAGAACCUGAAACCCUGUGCCUACAAGCACCUAGAGCACGUCAAAGUGUGAUAGGGUACUUUUUGUAGAACGGUCCGGCGAGCGAUUGUAUGCAGCAAGGUUAAGGACUUAAGGUCUGGAGCCGAAGCGAAAGCGAGUUUGAAAAGGGCGUUAAGUUGCAUAUAAUGGGCCCGAAACCGGGUGACCUACCCAUGGUCAGGUUGAAGUGGAAGUAAAAUUCCAUGGAGGACCGAACCGACCUCCGUUGAAAAGGCGGCGGAUGAACUGUGGGUAGCGGAGAAAUUCCAAUCGAACCCGGAGAUAGCUGGUUCUCCCCGAAAUAGUUUUAGGACUAGCCUCAAGUUAGAUACCUGGAGGUAAAGCACUGAAUAGCCUAGCGGCCGAGAGGUUAGCGAAGCUUAUCAAACUCAGAAUGCCAGAGUAUUGAUGCUUGGGAGUCAGACAGUGUCAGAUAAAUGUCAUUGUCAAAAGGGAAACAGCCCAGAUCUACAGCUAAGGUCCCAAAGUCAGGUUAAGUGGAAAACGAUGUGAAGAUACGUAGACAACCAGGAUGUUGGCUCAGAAGCAGCCACUCAUUCAAAGAGUGCGUAAUAGCUCACUGGUCGAGCGUCUUUGCGCGGAGAAUUUAACGGGGCUAAACCUGACACCGAAGCUUAGGCAGCAUGAUUACAUGCUGGGUAGGGGAGCGUUGUAUACGCGGUGAAACAGUAGCGCAAGCGGCUGUGGAGUGUAUAGAAGUGAGAAUGCCGGAAUGAGUAGCGCGAAUGCAGUGAGAAUCUGCAUGGCCGAAAGCCUCAGGUUUCUGGAGGAAGGUUCGUCCGCUCCAGGUUAGUCGGGAGCUAAGGUGAGGCCUAACGGCGUAGCCGAUGCACAGACGGUAGAGAUUCCGUCACCACCAAAAGAGUUAAACACAGGGACACAUAUGAAGUCUCGGAGCCGGGUGUUGGUUCCGGUAGCGAUCGAGGGAAGUUAGUACCGAAGUCCGGGAUGGAAGAUGGCGAGAAAAGCUGUGUGAAUUUCUGCGGUGCCCGUACCGCAAACCGACACAGGUAGGUAGGAAGAAGAUUCUAAGGCCAACGGGAGAAGGGUUGUUAAGGAACUCGGCAAAUUGACCCCGUAACUUCGGGAGAAGGGGUGCUGCAGCAAUGCAGCCGCAGAGAAUCGGCCCAAGCAACUGUUUACCAAAAACACAGGUUUGUGCUAAAUCGAAAGAUGACGUAUACGAGCUGACGCCUGCCCGGUGCUGGAAGGUUAAGAGGAGAUGUGCAAGCAUUGAAUCGAAGCCCCAGUGAACGGCGGCCGUAACUAUAACGGUCCUAAGGUAGCGAAAUUCCUUGUCAGGUAAGUUCUGACCCGCAUGAAAGGCGUAAUGAUUUGGGCACUGUCUCAACAGCCCGCCCGGCGAAAUUGUAGUACCGGUGAAGAUGCCGGUUACCCGCGACAAGACGGAAAGACCCCAUGGAGCUUUACUGUAGCCUAAUAUUGGGUUUCGAUGUUGCAUGCACAGGAUAGAUGGGACACUAGGAAGCAGGUGCUUUGGCGCUUGUGGAGUGGCCGUUGGGAUACCAUCCUUGCGAUAUUGGAAUUCUAACCUGCGCCUUUGAAUCAAGGCGGGGGACAUUGUUAGGUGGGCAGUUUGACUGGGGCGGUCGCCUCCUAAAGAGUAACGGAGGCGUUCAAAGGUUCGCUCAGCUUGAACGGAAAUCAAGCAAAAGAGUGCAAACGCAGAAGCGAGCCUAACUGCGAGACUGACGGGUCGAGCAGUAACGAAAGUUGGAGUUAGUGAUCCGGUGGUAUGUGAGUGGAAAUGCCAUCGCUCAACGGAUAAAAGUUACCCUGGGGAUAACAGGCUGAUCUCCCCCAAGAGUCCACAUCGACGGGGAGGUUUGGCACCUCGAUGUCGGCUCAUCGCAUCCUGGGGCUGUAUUCGGUCCCAAGGGUUUGGCUGUUCGCCAAUUAAAGCGGUACGCGAGCUGGGUUCAGAACGUCGUGAGACAGUUCGGUCCCUAUCUGUCGUGGGCGCAGGAUAUUUGAUGGGAGCUGUUCCUAGUACGAGAGGACCGGAGCGGACGUACCUCUGGCGCACCAGUUGUUCUGCCAAGAGCAUAGCUGGGCAACUAUGUACGGAUCGGAUAAACGCUGAAAGCAUCUAAGCGUGAAGCCGACCCAAAGAUAAGAUAUCCCAUUGUUUCAAACAAGUAAGACCCCUUGAAGACUACAAGGUUGAUAGGCACGAUGUGUAAGUGGAGUGAUCCAUUCAGCAAGUGUGUACUAAUAGGUCGAGGGCUUGACCACA
rnacentral:rRNA from 1 species